rnacentral:lncRNA from 1 species
GCAGAGUGGGAGCUUGCGCUCAUCCCUUUCAUUUUCAAGGGCUGCAGGACCCUGUGUGGGUGGAGGAACAGGAAAGGCAAGCUUGUGGUGGGCUCCCAAGCUGCCUCCAUACACUUGUCUUUGCUGAUCCUCCCUUUCCUGAGCCAGGAGGGAACUGCUAUGACUGGCACCUUUCCUUCCAGAUUUGGAGCCGUGGUAGGAACUGAGGACGUGGCCCUGCAGCUCAGAUCUGGGAGGCACAUGCCUGGGACAGGGGCUUGUGAUUACCCAAGCAGACCUCCAGUGACUUCCAUGGACACAGAGAGGUGGCAGGUGUGUGCUGAUGGCUUCUCAUUGGCAGUGGUCAGUGGGAGAGGUAGACAUGGCAGGUGGAUGAGGUCACCGAAAGGAAACCUGGCCCAGAGGAGAAAUGUAGACCAAAAUUGCAUCUGCCAAAGGUGGGUGAUGAAAACUGCUGUUCCUACUAUGCCUUUAGUAUAACUCUUGCCUCCAGGACAGCACAUUCAAAGAGACCAGCAUUAAUAAUUACGGGGACUUGUUUCCCCAGAGCCAGCCCCAGUGGUCUAGUGGUUAAGAUCCAGUGCUCUCACCACCGAGGCCCAGGGUUCAUUUCCCUGUCAGGGAACCACACCACCCGUCUGUUGGUUGUCAGACUGUGUUGGCCGCAUGUUGCUGUGAUGCUGAAAGCUAUGCCACAGGUAUUUCAAAUACCAGCAGGGUCACUCACAGUGGACAGGUUUCAGCAGAGCUUCCAGACUCAGACAGACUAGGAAAAAGGACCUGGCCACCCACUUCUGAAAAAAUUGGCCCUGAAAACCCUGUGAAUAACAGCAGAGCAUUGUCUGAUAGAGCUCCAGAGGGUGAGAGGAUGGAGCAAAAAGAUCGGGUAGGGUUCCGCUUUGCUGUACACAGAGUUGCCAGGAGUUGGAAUCCACUCAAUGACACAAACAAAAAAAAGGUUUCUCCACAUGGGACACGCUUGUCAUUUUAUCAGGGUUUUCCAGAACAUUGCUACCAAACAAGAUAAUAUUGUAAAAAUCUAGUUCUCGG